UCGGCCCCGUGCACGACGCUUACACGCGCGGUCGCACGCAUGGUGCGUGGUGACGUUGUGGCGGCGGGGGCGCCAUCCCGGAAGCGCGAGCAAGGCCGCCAGAUGUGCAGUUAAAUAAUGUGGAUCCCAGAGCCAAGCUAUGUCAAGAUUCCGGGUUUUGCCUGAUACCGCCCCCUGGAGGGCAGCGGAGGAGGAGGAAGAGAUGGACCCCCCGGACUCGGCCUCGAGGGUCUUCUGCAGCCGCAUCCUGAGCAUGGUGAACACAGACGACGUCAACGCUAUCAUCCUGGCUCAGAAGAACAUGCUGGACCGCUUUGAGAAGACCAAUGAAAUGCUGCUGAAUUUCAACAACCUGUCAAGCGCCCGCCUGCAGCAAAUGAGCGAGCGCUUCCUGCACCAUACAAGGACCCUGGUGGAGAUGAAGCGGGACCUGGAUAGCAUCUUCCGCAGAAUCAGGACGCUGAAAGGGAAGCUGGCCAGGCAGCACCCGGAGGCCUUCAGCCACAUCCCAGAGGCAUCCCUCCUGGAGGACGAGGAUGAAGACCCCAUCCCACCCAGUACCACGACCACCAUUGCCACCUCGGAACAGAGCACGGGCUCCUGUGACACCAGCCCUGACACCGUCUCACCCUCCCUCAGCCCUGGCUUCGAGGACCUCUCCCAUGUCCGGUCCAGUUCCCCUGUCAUCAAUGGCCGAAGCCAGACGGAUGAUGAGGAGACACCGGGCGAGUAACACCAUUCCCUGGUGCCCCGAGGGGUCUCAGGGCAGUGGCAGCACUCCCCCGGUGUCUGCGGUGGCAGCAGGUAUCUCAAGGAGGUUUCUGAGAUAAUUGUAGAAGGCUCAAGAUGGAGGCUGGCUAUUCAGCUGCAAGCCUGAUAAGGCCUAUGUUUCUCUGACCAGAGGUGUGAACCUUGAAGGCCCAGCAGGCCUCUCACAGGGCCUCCAUGGAGCAAGCUGAGCCACCUUGGAAAACAGAGUUAAACGGAAUAUUUUUGUACCCGAUGUUUACAGAUGCUAUUGGGAAGUUAUCAAUAAAAAGACUCUGUUACUAAAAAGGGAAGGGUGUACUUAACAGUGGCUUCCUUCCAUCCUGGGGCCCAGCAGGCCAUAAGGGGAACAAGUGCAGGAUGUGAGACAGGAGGGGUAUGGCAGCCAGGCACCACUGACCGAGAAAGAGAUGUGUCCGCUCUUGGUGGAAGUCUCCAGUGGUAGCAACCUUAAUAACCCAAGUUCCUAUCACCACCUAUGUAUACUCACACAUGCUGUUCCCACUGCUCACAACACUGUUCCUUAUCUCUGUGAAAAACUUCAUCUGCCACAGGGAGCUAGGCUGGGUCCAUUCCUCAGCAGACACUGUGUAGAGUUUCCUCAUCUUUUAAGCACUUAGAAAUUGUCACUAAAGGCAUCUUCCUAGACCCAAGAGUGUGUGCUUUUGCCUGUCGAUAGGGGGCGCUGGUAAGCGUUCAAGGAAAUAAAGAGCCACGCUGCCAAACCCA